rnacentral:lncRNA from 1 species
AUGCUCAUCAGCCACGGGCCAUCGCCACCUUGCGGAUGGGUCUGCGGGGUGACAUUCCUCACCCGCCCUGGGAGGGACGGACCGGCUAAUGCCCAGCCCGUGGGCUGCCCCUGCGUGCCCCCCCCCCCAGCAGCCACAGGGGCUCCAGCUGUGCCUGCCCCUCCCCCGGGGCUGGCCCUCCCUCAGCGUCCCCCUGGGCGAGCCCGGGACAGGCCUGGGAAGGGUGCAGGUUCCCGUGCGGGUGGAUUCCUGCCUGGCCUGACGGUCGUCGCAGAAACAAGCCGCGCGCAGCCCGGCCCGCUCACCUCUGAACACCACGAUGGCUUUUUUAAACACGAGCGUCCCAGAAACUGUUCAUUUGGACUCGGGGUUUGGCCGCAUUGUGACUCCUCCCUUCCUGUGUCAGUGCUGGGCCCACUCGGCCAAAACGAUGAUGCGGAGGCACCCGGGGUCUCUAGCCACUGGCCACCUCGGCUGACGGCUCGGGACCGUGGGUUUCCAGACACCUGUGAGCGGAGCCCCUUCCCUGCUCUGGGCACGGCUUGGGGGACCUCAGCGCCCCAGGCCCUCCCCGCCCCCCGCCUCUUGCAUGCUGGUCUGAUGGAGGGCUGCCAUCCUGGUCUUGCUGUUUGUUUGGGGAGGUGGAGGCCCAGCGCCAGGGUGGGGAGCGGGGGGCAGUACGCCAGCGGGGCAGGGGGCGCCGGAGGGGCUCCUCUGGGAGGGUGCUUUGGCUGUGGGCCUCUGGUUGGACGUGUGGGGCACACGCGCCUGCAGGGUGUUCUGGGGGCCGCAUGUGAGGUGGGUGUGGGGCGAUCUCUGGCCCCCGCCCGACUCCUGUGUGUGGCCAGGCCCGGGCGUGGGCUGCGUCCCCUGGUGCCCGGCUCCAGGCAGCCUGGACCAAGGGGAAGGGCUGCAGCCGCCCUCGCUGGGCGCGGAGAAGCCGGGGUGCCCCCAGCACACGGGGAGGUGAGCGCGCUGCCCCCUCCGUGCAGCCGAGAGACCCAGGAGGGUAGAGCGUUGUGA